ACAACACACUUACAGAGCUAGUGCUGCACCAUACGGCCAAAUGCCGAAAGUGGCUAGGAUAUCCCAGAGAGAGUAGUGCUGCACCAUGCAGUCAAAUGCCGAAGGUGGCUUAUGCUAGUAUAUACCUGUCUAUACGUUUCAAUCAGAAGAUCGAUAUUAUGUGUUCAUGUGAAAGUACACAUUUCCUUAGGAGCUGUAUUUUGAUAGAUUUAAGCUUCUAAUGGAGCAUUUUAAACGUAUAGAGUAUACUAUGAAGUAGAGUGCGGAUCAUUUUAUAUUCAUAGAAAAUUUGAAUGUAUGGAAAUGUACAAAAUGCUCAUGAUAUGCAAAAAUAUGCAAAAUAUUCAAAGUAAACCAAUCAUCAAAAAGUUUAAAAGAUUUCACAGAUUAUUUCGAUAUUGAAGUACUUCUUAUGUAUUAACGAAGAAGAUAAAACAUACUAAUACAAGCAUAAUUCAACUGAGCGAUUAUGAUAAUGUUAAUGCGCAUCUCCGAACGUGCAGAGGAUAAAUGAGCAGUUUUCAGAAUUCUACCUUUUAGCGUUCUACACACGAUCGGAGCGUAAAUGUGCCCGUAGUCUGCCUGUUCCUAUAAGCUACUUUAAACGAUCAUCUUUGAUUGUGUUGGCUCGUAGAUCAUAGAGGAAGCGAUUUACCUAUCUUUCGGAACAAGAACUACAGUUAAAAACAGCGACCAAUUGAGAACGGUAGUUAAGUCCGCGAGUAGAGGGGUGAGCGUGUUUUAGCGGCGACAACAGCACACGGUAUGCAGAUACGAAGCCGGGGUAAACCGGGAAGCCGUAGUUCACGGACCGUAGUAAGCGUGGUAACUCUGAACAGUCAACGACAUUUGAAAGCCGGCCGCGCUCUGGAAUUCAGAUAGACGAAUAUGCGGCUGCUUCUGUUCCAAAUAUCUCCGUUACUGUGCCUGUUGACGGAAAUCGGCGCGGCUGGGAUCGGUAAAGCAUGGCAGAUCCUGCCAUACGCGACCGAUUCCUGGAAUCACCCAUCAUGGCCACGGCUCGACUCUUCCGCGUUCGAAGUUCGCAGCGUGACCGGG